rnacentral:lncRNA from 1 species
UUUGGUGUAGUUUCCAUGGCAACAUAGUAGUUCCAAUGAGUGCCAAAAUCAUCCAACACCUGUAUAUAGUGGGCACCUACAUUGUAUUAAAAUAUAAUGUUUCUGAGUUAAAGCAUAUCCAAACAGUUCACCAAAACAAAAAACUGGAUUUUUUCACAUUUGUUCUGUUUCCAUGGAAACGGUAGCCAUCUUGAACCAUUCCAUGCUUACUGCAACUCUGCACAUGGGGGUCCUUACUAUAGAAGAGUUCCAUCAACAUUGGUCCAUUGGAUUUCGAGAAAUCACCUGGACAAAAUUUGUUGCAAGAAGAAAAAUAAUAAUAAGAAAAAAAAGAAACGUAGAAUAACAAUACGUCACCCCAACUCCGUUGAGGGUGCCAUAACAAAAAGAAACGUAGAAUAACAAUAUGUCACCCAAACUCCGUUUAGGGUGCCAUAAUAAUAAUAACUAGAUUUGCGAUUGCAAGCAAUAGCGGAUGGCACCCUUCCCCCAUUGCCAGGCCAGCGGCAGCCAUUCAGAAAAUUAUAACUGUUUCCAUGGCAACGGCGGCCAUUUUGAAAAUUCGAAACUCAAAAGUUAAGUCUACAUAAGCUAGGCAAAAUUUGUUUUAAGUUUUAUAAAUUUAAAGCAUUUUGAAGUUUUUCAUAAUUUUGCUGUUCCCAUGGUAACGGCGGCCAUUUUGAAUAUUCCAAAGUCAAACCCCCGCUGCAAUUUUUUCCCUCCAUAAUCAUAUAUACCAUCAUAUACCAUUUAAUGUCUCUAGAAUAAAUUUAACAUUGAUGUUCUGGAAUGUUCUGUGAAAAUUUAAAGUUUUGACCAUUUUUGCAUUGUUUCCAUGGUAACUACAGAUAUUUUGGAAAUUCCAACGCCAAAUUCCACAUCUUCCAAUGUUGCUCAUCGUUACUGUGAAGUUUCAUGAAGUUUGGAGCAUUUUGAUAUUUUUGAAAUUUUUGGUGUAGUUUCCAUGGCAACAUAGUAGGUCCAAUGAGUGCCAAAAUCAUCCAACACCUGUAUAUAGUGGGCACCUACAUUGUAUUAAAAUAUGAUCAUUCUGAGUGUAAGCAUAUUCAAACAGUUCACCAAAACAAAAAACAGAAAUUUUUCACAUUUGUUUUGUUUCCAUGGUAACGGCAGCCAUUUUUUACCAUUCCAAUGUCUCUUGCACAACUUCACAUGGCGGUUCAUAUUAUGGUAUAGUUCCAUCAACAUGGGUCUGACCAAUCCCGAGAAAUAGCAUGGACAAAAUGUGUGGAAGAAUAAAAAUAAAAAUAAGAAAAAAAGAAACGGAACAAUAACAAUAUGUCACCCCAACUCCGUUGAGGGUGCCAUAAUAAAAAAAAGAAACGAACAAUAACAAUAUGUCACCCCAACUCCGUUGAGGGUGCCAUAAUAAUAAUAAUAGUGAAAAAGAAACAGAGGAAUAGCAAUAUGUCACCCGACAUUGUCGAUCGGGUGACAUAAUAAGAAAAAAAGAAACGAACAAUAACAAUAUGUCACCCCAACUCCGUUGAGGGUGCCAUAAUAAUAGGGAAAAAGAAACAGAGGAAAAGCAAUAUGUCACCCGACUUUGUCGAUCGGGUGACAUAAUAAUAAGAACUGACCAAAAACAAUAAGUCUCCAAACUUUGUUUGGGAGACUUAAUAAACUACAACU